GACGGAGUAUGUCCGUUGCCUGCUCUUCAAAGCAUUAGGAUAGUGUGUGUGUGCAGGGAAUGGGUGGGUGGAUAUUUUUAUCCCCCCCAUAACCAGGUGCAAGAGGGACAAGAAAAAUCUACUUCUAAAUUUGAAAGGGACCUGGGAAUUUUCUCGAGGCUUACCUAUGCAUGAAGAGAACUAAGAGCCUGCCUUCACUCUGUGAAUUUCUGUGGACUGAAGUCCUUCUCCAAGUUGAGCUGUGCAGUUUCAUACCAUGACAGAUUUUCCAUUUCUUCCUCCCAGAAGCCUAUUUGGCAGAACCAGUCUGCAUACUACACUGUUGUGGUAGGCGGCAGACAGAUGUGACUCAGAGCAUGUUUGAUUUCCCAGAACAUAUUUCCAAGGGGGUAAUGGCUAAUGAGUUCACCUUUGAGUCUGCCAACAAAAGAGGCCCACAGAGACACCCAGGUCAGCUGAAAUCUACCAGACACAGAGAAGACAGAUUCCAGACACCAGCAGGGUCUACGAAUGCCUGCUAGACAGCCAUAUAAAAAGAAAGCUACCUAAUUCUGAGAAACCAGCUUCACUGCAUUGGUCCAUCUAAUCACGAGCCUAUGCAGGAAGAACAAAGGUUAGAGGAAAAUGAAACACAUUAUUAUUGCUGGGAGCAAACAGAAGACACACUAUGAAGAAGAGAUGGAGUUUGAGCAUCCUGGCAAAUCCAGACUGAAGUUAAAUGACAUCCACCAAACAACUCCAGGCUGUGAAGAAACAGACAGCUCUCCUCCCACUUCUCAUCUUCCUUUUCUAGGCCAUUAAACUGUACACUGAAAAAGAUGAAGAUACCUCCCCAGGCUUUGGAAUUAUCAAAAUAACUUUGGAAUUCUUGAUAUUGAUUAAUAUCAAUACUAUUCCUAUUCUAUUCAAGUCAACUAAGACAAUGUUUUCAAAUUUUAGAUUAUGAUUCAUUAGUUGAUAACAGAAUCAAUUUAAUUGGCUUUAAAAGAGACAUAAAAUAGAAAAGAAAAUAUCAAAGCAUGCAUCACAUGCAGUAAGGACGAGUCUAUGUAUGUAAACAUUUUGUUUCAAAUAUAUAUGUGUGUUUGUUUAUAAGAUGUAUAUAUUGUGAUAGUUUAAUGUUUCUUAUUGUGAGUUAUAGUCAACAAAGUGUUCAAAAAUUAUUUAAUUAAAAUGUAAGCUCCCCAAAGGUAGAGUUUUUGCCUUGUCCACCAUUGUUCAUCCAGCACCUAAAACACAUACAUAAUAAAUAUUAGCUGAAUAAAUAUAUGGCCUGGGGAAAGUCAAUGAAUCUGU